GACGAACGCUGGCGGCGUGCCUAAUACAUGCAAGUAGAACGCUGAAGAGAGGAGCUUGCUCUUCUUGGAUGAGUUGCGAACGGGUGAGUAACGCGUAGGUAACCUGCCUGGUAGCGGGGGAUAACUAUUGGAAACGAUAGCUAAUACCGCAUAAAAUUGAUUAUUGCAUGAUAAUUAAUUGAAAGAUGCAAUUGCAUCACUACCAGAUGGACCUGCGUUGUAUUAGCUAGUUGGUGAGGUAACGGCUCACCAAGGCGACGAUACAUAGCCGACCUGAGAGGGUGAUCGGCCACACUGGGACUGAGACACGGCCCAGACUCCUACGGGAGGCAGCAGUAGGGAAUCUUCGGCAAUGGGGGGAACCCUGACCGAGCAACGCCGCGUGAGUGAAGAAGGUUUUCGGAUCGUAAAGCUCUGUUGUAAGAGAAGAACGGGUGUGAGAGUGGAAAGUUCACACUGUGACGGUAUCUUACCAGAAAGGGACGGCUAACUACGUGCCAGCAGCCGCGGUAAUACGUAGGUCCCGAGCGUUGUCCGGAUUUAUUGGGCGUAAAGCGAGCGCAGGCGGUUAGAUAAGUCUGAAGUUAAAGGCUGUGGCUUAACCAUAGUAUGCUUUGGAAACUGUUUAACUUGAGUGCAGAAGGGGAGAGUGGAAUUCCAUGUGUAGCGGUGAAAUGCGUAGAUAUAUGGAGGAACACCGGUGGCGAAAGCGGCUCUCUGGUCUGUAACUGACGCUGAGGCUCGAAAGCGUGGGGAGCAAACAGGAUUAGAUACCCUGGUAGUCCACGCCGUAAACGAUGAGUGCUAGGUGUUAGGCCCUUUCCGGGGCUUAGUGCCGCAGCUAACGCAUUAAGCACUCCGCCUGGGGAGUACGACCGCAAGGUUGAAACUCAAAGGAAUUGACGGGGGCCCGCACAAGCGGUGGAGCAUGUGGUUUAAUUCGAAGCAACGCGAAGAACCUUACCAGGUCUUGACAUCCCUCUGAUCGCUCUAGAGAUAGAGUUUUCCUUCGGGACAGAGGUGACAGGUGGUGCAUGGUUGUCGUCAGCUCGUGUCGUGAGAUGUUGGGUUAAGUCCCGCAACGAGCGUAACCCCUAUUGUUAGUUGCCAUCAUUCAGUUGGGCACUCUAGCGAGACUGCCGGUAAUAAACCGGAGGAAGGUGGGGAUGACGUCAAAUCAUCAUGCCCCUUAUGACCUGGGCUACACACGUGCUACAAUGGCUGGUACAACGAGUCGCAAGCCGGUGACGGCAAGCUAAUCUCUGAAAGCCAGUCUCAGUUCGGAUUGUAGGCUGCAACUCGCCUACAUGAAGUCGGAAUCGCUAGUAAUCGCGGAUCAGCACGCCGCGGUGAAUACGUUCCCGGGCCU
rnacentral:rRNA from 1 species